GCCUUCUUAGCUCAGGGGCAGAGCGCUGCUCUCGUACUUUUACCGGGAGGAAAGCAGAGGUCGUCAGUUCAAUUCUGGCAGCAGGCA